rnacentral:tRNA from 5 species
UCCUCUGUAGUUCAGUCGGUAGAACGGCGGACUGUUAAUCCGUAUGUCACUGGUUCGAGUCCAGUCAGAGGAC